CUGCAAGCUCCAGGGACCUACACCGGAAACUUGGAGAUCCUGCUUCCUGCUUCUCGGGCCUCAGCUGUGGGAAACUUGGGGUAGAGCAGAGGCGUUUCUGUAUUCAACUGCCCAGGCAGAGGAGAAUGGGGUCUCCACAGCCUGAAGAAUGAAGACACGACAGAAUAAAGACUCAAUGUCAGUGAGGAGUGGACGGAAGAAAGAGGCCCUGGGCCCCGGGGAAGAGCUGAGAUCGAGGGGGCGGGCCUCCCCUGGAGGGUCAGCACGUCCAGCAGCGAUGGCAAAGCCGAGAAGUCCAGGCAGACGACCAAGAAGGCCUGAGUAGAGGAAGCCUCCACCCCAAAGGUUAGUAAGCAGCUCCAGAGUGAAGAGAUCUCGGAAAGUGAAAGUGAGGAGACCAGUGCACCCAAGAAGCCCCAAACUGAGCAGGAGCUCCCCCGGCUGCAGUCUCCCUUGGACCUGGACAGCUUGGAUGGGCGGAGCCUCAACGAUGAUGGCAGCAGUGACCCCAGGGAUAUCGACCAGGACAACCGGAGCAGGCCCCCUAGCAUCUACAGCCCUGGCAGCAUGGAAAAUGACUCCGACUUCUCUUCUGGCCGGUCCCAGAGCCCAGCCCGCCCUGCCACCCACAUCCGCUGUUUCCUCCCUCCCCUCCACCGCCAGACAGCACCCCUCGACAGCCAGAGCCUGGCUUUGAACCCCUCCUCCUGUGACGCCCACUGGAUAUCAUGCUCCCAUGGAGCCCUCCGCGCCUUGAUGGUUCCAGGCUCCGCCUGGAGCCCCUCACCCUCACCCGCAGAUCUACCCUGGGGGGUGGGGGGAGGAGCAGUGGAGGAGUUUUGUCCAGGAGCCCCAGUAGGUUCCAGGGCAGGAGGGGCUGCCUCAUCAGUGGGGGUCCCUGGGGGGGAGGUAAACAGCACCCUCCGCCCACUACCCCCAUUUCAAUACCAAGCUCUGGGGCUGGUAGCACUCCCCCAACAAAGCCACCGAACACUCCAGUGGGUGGCGGGAGGCUGCCCUCUGCUCCACCACCAGUCACCUUCCCCCAUCUGACACCGAACCUGCCUCCCCUGCCUGUCCUGAGACACCUUAACAACACGUCAGCUUCUCCUCCUGACCUGGGGGUCUAGUCGCUACCUGGGCAUCAGCCCUCUCCCCAUGCCAUGGGGCAGGCUAUGGGCUGACUUUCUCCCGGCCCAGCGAAGGACCCGACUCUGGUCCCCUCGCUCCACCCUCUGCCCCCCGCUUCCUCCUCUUCUACCCCAGCGCCCCCAUGACGUAUCCCUAUUCAUCCUCUAGCAGUAGCUCUGCGGCUGCCUCCUCUUCCAGUGCUGCCUCCUCUUUCAGCGCCACUGCCGCCGCCGCCGCCACCGCCGCCGCUGCCCAGUACCCAGCUUCCCAGGUGCUGCCCAGUUAUCCUCACCCUUUCCCUCCCCCAGAAAACCUCUCCGUCUCCAACCAGCCCCCCAAGUACACCCAGCCUUCUCUCCUGCCCCAGGCAGUGUGGAACCAGGGUCCCACUCAGCCUCCUCCGUAUGACCGCCCCUUGGUCAACAGCAAUGCCCACCCUGAUCCCCCCCCUCCUGCUGGGGGCCAGGCCAGUGCCCACCCGCCAGCCCCAACACACCACCACCAGCAGCAGCAGCAGCAGCGGCAUUACGGGACCUCUGGGGUCCCGCCCGGAGCGUUUCCCCACCCUUUGAAGAGCAGUGGCUCCCACCAUGCGCACCCCUAUGUCAUGUCGCCCUCCUUGGGGUCUCUGAGGCCCUACCCGCCCGAGCCAGCACACCUGCCCCCGCCGCACGGCCAGGUGUCCUACAGCCAAGCCAGCCCCGGCGGCCCUCCGCCCUCUUCCUCUUCCAACUCGUCGUCCUCCUCCUCUCAAGGGUCCUACCCCUGCUCGCACCCAUCCCCUUCCCAGGGUCCCCAAGGGGCGCCCUACCCCUUCCCGCCAGUGCCCAUGGUCACCACCUCCUCGGCCAUCUUCUCCACGGUCAUCACCACCGUCGCCUCCUCGCCUGUAGGCUACAAGACGGCCUUGCCGCCCAGGCCCCUGCCGCACGCGAAGCGAGCCCCGUCCCCGGGACCUACAAGACGGCCACCCCGCCCAGGUACAAGCCGGGCUCUCCCCCCGCCUUCCGGACAGGGACCCUGCCGGGCUACCGAGGUGCCUCGCCGCCCGCCGGCCCAGAGACCUUCGAGCCGGCUCGCCCGCCGCGGGCGCGGGGCCGCUGCCGCCGGCGGGGCACCCCUGCCUGCCCUACCUGCCGCCGCUGCCCGCGGUCCCAGGUGGUCCGGCCCUGAGCGCCGCGCAGAUCAAGCAGGAGCCGGCCCAGGAGAACCAGGCGCCCGAGAGCCCGGCGCCCCCGGCGCGCAGCACCUCGCCCUCGCACAAGGUAAUGGACGUGCCCAGCCACGCCGGCCAGUCGGUCAGGUUCAACAAGCACCUGGACCGCGGCUUGCACCCGUCUGCGCGCAGCGACCCGUACUGCGUGCCGCUGGAGGGCUCCAAGCUGGCCAAGAAGCGCCGACCUGCUGGAGAAGGUGCGGCGCGAGGCCGAGCAGCACGCGCGGGAGGAGAAGGAGCGCGAGGGCGAGUGGGGGCGCGAGCAGGAGCGCGAGCUGGAGCGCAGCGUGAAGCUGGCUCAGGAGGGCCGCGCUCCCGUGGAGUCAGUCCCUGGGCCCCGUGCCCCACCACCCUCCGUUGUGCCGGGCAGUGCGGUGGUUACAGCGCCCCCCUACCUGGGGCCUGACACCCCGGCCUUGGUACUGGUACCCUCAGCGAGUACGCCGGCCUCACGUCAUGUCUCCCGGCAACCGCAACCACCCCUUCUACGUGCUCCUGGGCGCGGUGGACCCGGGGCUCCUGGGCUACAACGUCCGGGCCCUGUACAGCACCGACCCGGCUGCCAGAGAGAGGGAGCGGGAAGCCGGGGAACGAGAACUCCGCGACCGCCUCAAGCCGGCUUCGAGCUGAAGCCCAGCGAGCUGCAGUCCCUGCGCGGGGUCCCCGGGGCGGGCCUGGAUCCCUUCCCGCAACACGGGAGCCUGACCCCGCAGCCUGGCCAGCCCGACCUACACCCUUUCCCCUUCCACGCGAGCCUGGGGCCCCUGGAGCGAGAGCGGCUGGUGCUGGUGGCCGGGCCAGCCCUGCGUCCCGACAUGUCCUACGCGGAGCGGCUGGCGGCCGAGCGGCAGCACGCGGAAAGGGUGGCACCCCUGGGCAACCACCAGCUGGCGUGACUGCAGAUACUCAACUUGACCCCCUCCCCCCUCCCCCAGCACUCGCACAUCCACUGGCACCUGCACCUGCACCAGCAGGACGCCACCCAUGCAGCCUCUGCCUCGGUGCACCCUCUCGUUGACCCCCUGGCCUCGGGGUCUCACCUUACCCGGAACCCCCACCCAGCUGGGACCCUCCCUAACCCCCUUCUUCCUCACCCUCUGCAGGAGAACGAAGUUCUUCGUCACCAGCUCUUUGCUGCCCCCUACCGGGACCUGCCGGCAUCGCUCUCCACCCGAUGUCCGUGGCGCCCCAGCUGCAGGCCUUGCACGCGCGGUCAGGGGAGCUGCAGCCCCUGGCGCCGGAGCAGCAGCAGUGGCUGCACGCCCACCACCCGCUGCACAGCGUGUCGCUGCUCGCCCAGGAGGACUACUACAGUCACCUGUAGAAGGAGAGCGAAAAGCCGCUGUAG